rnacentral:rRNA from 1 species
GACAGAGGUGCCGAGCGUUAGGCGGAAUCACUGGGCUUAAAGCGUGUGUAGGCGGGCCGUUAAGUGUCUUGUGAAAUCCCCCGGCUCAACCGGGGAAUUGCUGGGCAUACUGGCGGUCUUGAGCAGUUCAGGGGCAGAUGGAACAAGUGGUGGAGCGGUGAAAUGUGUAGAUAUUGGAAGGAACACCAGUGGCGAAGGCGGCCACCUGGACAAACACUGACACUGAGGUACGAAAGCGUGGGUAGCGAACAGG